rnacentral:misc_RNA from 1 species
CACCUGAGCCAAAAUCCUUCUCUCGAUGGCGGUGAAGUAGAGGAAGAAUUUACUGAGGAAAUGAUCGUCUUGCAUCAGCUGAUCCCACGUGGUGGGCGCGACGUAUCCGCCCGUUCCACCGCUCGCCAACGGCACAUUCUUCCCUCGAUUUCUCGAUAUCCUUGCUCUGCCCGGUAUACCGACGUUGCUCAGGCUCUUGUUGUUCACCGAAGAUGGCGAAUUAACAAGAUGUAAUAUGAAAAUUAUUACAAAUGUCUCGAAUAACCUUUUAUUUUCUUCUCUAUGUUAAAUUCAAACAUGAAAGAAAUUUUAUAUUUAUAAAAUGAAUAUCAUUUGAAUCAGAGAAGUUGAAAUUAUAUUAAUAUGAUAAUUUUACGAUAUAAUGACAG